rnacentral:rRNA from 1 species
AUCUUGGACAAUGGGGGAAACCCUGAUCCAGCCAUGCCGCGUGAGUGAUGAAGGCCCUAGGGUUGUAAAGCUCUUUUAGCAGGGAAGAUAAUGACGGUACCUGCAGAAAAAGCCCCGGCUAACUUCGUGCCAGCAGCCGCGGUAAUACGAAGGGGGCUAGCGUUGCUCGGAAUCACUGGGCGUAAAGCGCACGUAGGCGGAUCUUUAAGUCAGGGGUGAAAGCCUGGAGCUCAACUCCAGAACUGCCUUUGAUACUGAAGAUCUUGAGUUCGGGAGAGGUGAGUGGAACUGCGAGUGUAGAGGUGAAAUUCGUAGAUAUUCGCAAGAACACCAGUGGCGAAGGCGGCUCACUGGCCCGAUACUGACGCUGAGGUGCGAAAGCGUGGGGAGCAAACAGG